AACGCGCGCUCAGCGGCAAGGCGCUGUGUCACAUGUGCAUCCCCAUCGUCUUUGCAGCGCGACCACGCAUAUUGGAUCAAGUCGGUCGCGGCCGUGUAGGCGUCAGGGUCGGCGGUGGCGGCGACACGCUCCAACCUCUCAAAGAGUAGUGACCACACGUCGACAGCAUCAAUCAACGCCGAGGACGGCGCAGCGCGGGCAACGACGGUAUCGAGCGCCGCGACCAGACGCUCGAUGGUGCCAAUAUCAUGGCUAUUAUCGGCCGAAUCACAGGCAACGCGCAUCAUAGACGCCACCCAUGGCGGGUGCAUGCGCGCCACCUCGUCGGGCCAGCGCUCGCACAGCCAGGCAAAGCAGCGGGGAUCGGCUCGGCCGCCGACGCACGCCGCCAGGAAAAGGCUGUCGAGUUGGCUAAAGUCGCCCUUGCGCAGGGGGUUGUACUUUGGCGGGCCGUCACACAACCACGACAACAGAGCGUCCGAGUCGUCCGAACACCGCAUACGGUCGCCAUUGUCAUCCAGGCGGCAGGCACCCUCGGCAAGGCGCAUGAGUGUGUGCGACUGUUCCUGUGGAUUGUCACUGCACUCGGCACGACGCAAAAUCCACCUGGCGCCACCGAUCGACCGCCGCAUACAGAUGAGGUCGAUGGCAGCGUGCGAUGAGAUUGAGUCUGUGAUCCCAUGUGCGUCGUAGACGCCUAGUAUGGCCGACACUGCAUCAGAGACGCUGUAUGCGUCCAGGCGUGUGGCGCUGGUGCGCUCGAUGCAUUGGGUCACGAGUUCCAACUGGUUGCAGUCAGAGUCCACCCACGAGCCGAGGUUGGUGGCCCACGCGCGACCACGGGGUUCCUUGGCGGCCUCUAGGCACCAUGCCACAAUCCUGGGUCCCGACGCCUGUUCCAUGGCCUGAACGGCGUCACCGUGCGCUGCUCUGCCAAUGGAGAGUAGCAUCUCCAGAGCCACAGGGUCGUCGUUGGCGGCCGCGGCGCCGAUCGCCGCCUGGUUCAUGAGCGCACGCGGCAUGGCAUCGGCGACGCGCGCGAUGGCAUCAUGGCAGCCGCUGCGUACGACGGCGGCCGCCACGACAAAUGGAUGAUGUGCGACGAUCUCUUGAUAGGACAUGCGCGGCCAGGGCGUAUCGCACGGCACCGCCGACGGGCCAUCAACGGCAGCCGCGCCGUCCCCAGACGCCCGUGUGUCGGCCCACUUGGGCGUGUCGGCGCGGAUGAAUGCCAGUGCGCGCUCGACCAGCGCCGGCACGCCCGAUGCCGCCAAGACGACCUCGAUAGCAUGGUCGGGCACGGCUGUCGUCUUGUUGAUCCAUGCAACCAAAUGGUCGAUGGCGAUAGUAUCCCACGCCAUCGAAUCGCGGCGCAUUUUGGCCCAUUGGACAAAGGUUGAUGCGCAGACCAGGCGGCCACGACUCCACAGGAUUUGGCGUGCGGGCUUCCACAUGCAUGCGCGUGUACACGGCGGACCGCCAUAAAAGGACGGUGUGGCCCGGUCGAUGAUCUCACGCCAUAGGCAGCAGACGGCGCGCACGGCAAACCGCCAUUUGGGCUCGACGCCGCCGUAUUCGUCAAUGUCGCCAUCGUUGUCGCCCACCAGGACCAGGGUCCACAAUUCGGGCGGGAGGAUGUCUUCGGGGGCCGUCUCCAUCACAAAAUUUGGUUGCGUGUAUGUACACACGCUGUAUGCCUUUUGCUCUCGCGUGGUUGUCUAUGGACGGGCUCGUGGUACAAAGGACCCGCGCCUAUGGGCGGGGACUUGUGCGGCACCGCCAGGACCAAUGACGUCACAAUGCCUUUUUCCUCCAUCCCCCCCCCCCACAAAGGAAAUCCUAGUGAAACAACAAAAUAAAAAAGAGACGAAAAGUGCAAAGGCGACUGCGGCGCCCGUCCGAGCGCCGUCGCGAUGGAUGGCGCCCCAGGCACGCCACAAUGGUCCCUCAAUUUGC
rnacentral:lncRNA from 1 species